rnacentral:rRNA from 1 species
GAUGAACGCUAGCUACAGGCUUAACACAUGCAAGUCGCGGGGUAACAUCUGGUAGAGCUUGCUCUUCCAGGAUGACGACCGGCGCACGGGUGAGUAACGCGUAUCCAACCUGGCCCAUACCACGGGAUAGCCCGUCGAAAGGCGGAUUAAUACCGUAUGCUGUCAUUAAGAUGCAUAUAUUGAUGACGAAAGGACUGGCGGUAUGGGAUGGGGAUGCGUCUGAUUAGCUUGUUGGCGGGGUAACGGCCCACCAAGGCUACGAUCAGUAGGGGUUCUGAGAGGAAGGUCCCCCCACAUUGGAACUGAGACACGGUCCAAAACUCCUACGGGAGGCAGCAGUGAGGAAUAUUGGGUCAAUGGGCGAGAGCCUGAACCAGCCAAGUAGCGUGCAGGAAGACGGGCCCUAAUGGGUUGUAAACUGCUUUUAUAGGGGAAUAAAGUGAGCCACGUGUGGCUUUUUGCAUGUACCCUAUGAAUAAGGACCGGCUAAUUCCGUGCCAG